GACGAACGCUGGCGGCGUGCUUAACACAUGCAAGUCUAGGGGGCCCGCAAGGGUCACCGGCGAACGGGUGCGUAACACGUGAGCGACCUACCCUGGAAUGGGGGAUAGCCGGCCCAACGGCCGGGUAAUACCGCAUACGCUCUUCGAGCUGCAUGGCUUGGAGAGGAAACCUUUUGGGUUCCUGGAGGGGCUCGCGGCCUAUCAGCUAGUUGGUGAGGUAACGGCUCACCAAGGCAAUGACGGGUAGCUGGUCUGAGAGGAUGGCCAGCCACAUAGGGACUGAGAAACGGCCCAGACUCCUACGGGAGGCAGCAGUGGGGAAUAUUGCGCAAUGGUCGAAAGACUGACGCAGCGACGCCGCGUGGAGGAUGACGCCCUUCGGGGUGUAAACUCCUGUUGCUCGGGACGAACCUCCCCAUUCGUGGGGACUGACGGUACCGGGUGAGGAAGCACCGGCUAACUCUGUGCCAGCAGCCGCCGUAAGAC
rnacentral:rRNA from 1 species